GGGGACAGUUUGAGAACAAUUAAGAUGGAC
rnacentral:piRNA from 1 species